rnacentral:tRNA from 1 species
GCCUACUUAGCUCAGAGGACAGAGCGUUGCACUUGUAAUGCAAUGGUCAUCGGUUCAACUCCGAUAGUAGGCU